GAUGAACGCUGGCGGCAUGCUUAACACAUGCCAGUCGGACGGUAAGUGGUGUUUCCCGUGGCGGCCGGGUGAGUAACGCGUAAGAACCUGCCCUUGGUAGGGGCACAACAGCUGGAAACGGCUUCUAAUACCCCGUAGGCUUAGGAGCAAAAGGAGGAAUCCGCCCGAGGAGGGGCUCGCGUCUGAUUAUCUUGUUGGUUAGGCAAUAGCUUACCAAGGCGAUGAUCAGUAGCUGGUCCGAGAGAAUGAUCAGCCACGCUAGGACUGAGACACGGACCAGACAAAGAAGGGAGGCAGGAGAGGGGAAAAUGAAGCAAUGGGCGAAAGGAGGAAGGAGCAAUGCCGCGGGGAGGGAGAAGGACUACGGGUGGAGAACGUCUUUACCCGGAGAAGAAGCAAUGACGGUAACUGGGGAAUAAGCAACGGCUAACUCUGUG
rnacentral:rRNA from 1 species